AGAGUUUGAUCAUGGCUCAGGAUGAACGCUAGCUACAGGCUUAACACAUGCAAGUCGAGGGGAAACGAUAUUGGAAGCUUGCUUCCGAUAGGCGUCGACCGGCGCACGGGUGAGUAACGCGUAUCCAACCUGCCCACCACUUGGGGAUAACCUUGCGAAAGUAAGACUAAUACCCAAUGAUAUCUCUAGAAGACAUCUGAAAGAGAUUAAAGAUUUAUCGGUGAUGGAUGGGGAUGCGUCUGAUUAGCUUGUUGGCGGGGUAACGGCCCACCAAGGCAACGAUCAGUAGGGGUUCUGAGAGGAAGGUCCCCCACAUUGGAACUGAGACACGGUCCAAACUCCUACGGGAGGCAGCAGUGAGGAAUAUUGGUCAAUGGACGAGAGUCUGAACCAGCCAAGUAGCGUGCAGGAAGACGGCCCUAUGGGUUGUAAACUGCUUUUAUAAGGGAAUAAAGUGUGAGUCGUGACUCUUUUUGCAUGUACCUUAUGAAUAAGGACCGGCUAAUUCCGUGCCAGCAGCCGCGGUAAUACGGAAGGUCCGGGCGUUAUCCGGAUUUAUUGGGUUUAAAGGGAGCGUAGGCCGGAGAUUAAGCGUGUUGUGAAAUGUAGACGCUCAACGUCUGCACUGCAGCGCGAACUGGUUUCCUUGAGUACGCACAAAGUGGGCGGAAUUCGUGGUGUAGCGGUGAAAUGCUUAGAUAUCACGAAGAACUCCGAUUGCGAAGGCAGCUCACUGGAGCGCAACUGACGCUGAAGCUCGAAAGUGCGGGUAUCGAACAGGAUUAGAUACCCUGGUAGUCCGCACGGUAAACGAUGGAUGCCCGCUGUUGGUCUGAAUAGGUCAGCGGCCAAGCGAAAGCAUUAAGCAUCCCACCUGGGGAGUACGCCGGCAACGGUGAAACUCAAAGGAAUUGACGGGGGCCCGCACAAGCGGAGGAACAUGUGGUUUAAUUCGAUGAUACGCGAGGAACCUUACCCGGGCUUGAAUUGCAGAGGAAGGAUUUGGAGACAAUGACGCCCUUCGGGGCCUCUGUGAAGGUGCUGCAUGGUUGUCGUCAGCUCGUGCCGUGAGGUGUCGGCUUAAGUGCCAUAACGAGCGCAACCCCUCUCCUUAGUUGCCAUCAGGUUAAGCUGGGCACUCUGGGGACACUGCCACCGUAAGGUGUGAGGAAGGUGGGGAUGACGUCAAAUCAGCACGGCCCUUACGUCCGGGGCUACACACGUGU
rnacentral:rRNA from 1 species